UAAGGAAAAAAGUUUGGGCCAGGACUCUUCUUCAACCCGUCCUCUUCUUCAACCCAUCCUCUGGACUCGAGGAAUCCUCCUCCGCCCUCCUCCUCGCGUGAACCAGCUGAUCUGCCAAGAUCAUGGUAGCACCUAUGGCGAGUGCGGCGCGGAGCUCGCUCAAGGUCGAUGCGCCCCGUGGUGUUGGCAUUCGAGGCGGGUUGGCCCGAGCUGGGUCGAUCUGACCGCCGCCGCCAGUCAUGUUUCUUGAUCCCGUGGACGACCUCAACCAUAACAAGCAGGAUAGCUGCAAUGAAUUGUGGACGGGAGCAGCAGCGUCCUAUGGGCGGGCGCCGGCGACGUUCUUCGCCUCAUGGACGUGCUCCGCGUGGAUACCGACAAGGACGUCUACAUCUCCCUCCCCAGGGGUUCUAUCGACGCUGCUAGGUCGCCGGCAUCACCGCUGGAUGCGCCACAUCUAGCCUUUCCCUACUUGCUAGCCAAUGGACUGCUGCUCUCCUAGACGAGCUACGGCGGCCGCCCACAGGGUGUUUGACGAAAUUCCCAUCAAGGAUGGCAUCACUUGGGAGACCAUAGAGUCCAAUAGAGGUUUCCACAGUGAAGCAGUAAGGCUUUUGACCUGCAUGUGUCACGAAUCACAGGGACUCGCUGGUGGUCUGCUCGGCCAUGCCAUUGUCCAUGUUCUUGGCUGAGCAAACCAAGGAACUUUAGUGAACUGUUGCAGGCAAAGGAAGUUGGUGCUGCUGGCAGAGAAAUAUUAGGAUUAGUAUAGCAUGAUUAUCGUAGUUUCCUUGAUUUGUUUUGGUCUAGAUUAGUACAUCAAUGCACUGAUAUUUCUUUUGUGGUGCAGGCGCUUCAAGAUAACAAGGACAGCAGGCUUCGCGACAACUCAUUCGUCUACGAUGUCCUCACCAAAUCUGAAAUUAUUUGGCUCCUAAAUUCUAAUCCAUGUGAGCAAGCCGCCCCUUCUUCUUCCCCCACCAAUGGCCGCUUCCAAAUCAGGUUGAAAGUCCAGGUCACUCCCCAAAUAUUAGGUUGUUAUUGUUCCUUUAUUUGCAUUGAAUCGAGGUUGUGAAACAUGCUAAAUCUAGUAGAGAAGAUAAAGUUAUUGCCUGGUACCAAGGACGGAUGUGCACUCCUUUACUGCUGUUUUUUCCAUUUGAGUGGAAACACUAGGCUUAUGGCUGAUCGUCAUGCUCUAGCCGAGGAACGAAUGGAGUUACCAAGAAAUAGAGGAGGAAGUCCAUCACCUGAACAUGAUCAUUGCAAAGAUUAAUGACAAGAAUGGAGCUUAUAUCACUAUAUCAGCGAGCUCGUUGACAAGAGAAGGAAGGUUGAAGCUGAACUUAGAUCAAAUGAGCCUUUGAGACAUGAGGUUGUGCAUUUUUGUGCUGAAAUUGAGAAUCUCCUUGUUGUUAGGAAAGAACCUUCUACAAAGGUUGCAUCACUCAUCAAUGAGAUUAGUAGGGAGAGAUCAAAUAGAUAACAAGAACUUACACAUGCAAGGUACACACCACGACACACGGUCUCUUUUGUUGGACCAGACUCUCAAGUAUCCUAGUAAAUCAGUUGCGGAAUGGAAAGUUGAUUAUCAUUGGUUUGUAUUUCGCAAGAAUGCAUGUGAAUUAUAGCAUCUAGAAGUGGAAUUUCGAGUUGGUGGAACAAGGUAAAGUAAUGUAAAAGAGUAGGAUUUUGACGGCGCAAGAAAUUCAACAACUGCAGGCCAAAUUAGCUAAUUUUGAUGGCAGGCUAGGGGGCACAAGUAUGCUAUUCGGAUCAACUAUAGCGUUUGUAAAUUCAGUUAUCAUUUCUACAUGUAUUUUCCUUUCUUUACUAUAAUGUCUUGCCUGGAUUUGACGUUGUACAUGCACAAUAUGGUGCGGUUUCAGCAAUCCUGAUUUAGGAAUCUGGCAUGUCUCAACACUUUACAUGGUUCUCUAUGAAACAAGACAGAUCAUUUGGUUUGUUACCGCUAAUGGACAUGCCCACUACUCUUAGCCUAAUACAAUAUUGAUGCAUCUAAUAUUGGUAGGUAAAGUUGGCAGAUGACAACACACAUGUCAAUGGAUAAGCAAUAGGCAUUCAUCAUCCAUCCAGGUUUGCAAACCCAUCUUAUACUAAUCCCUUUCUCGGUAUUUAAUAGUUGGAAAACCUUUCAUUCGUACUAUCUGUUUUAGUUUAGUACUAUUCUUUUUUAUAUAUAAAUGGAGAUUGUCGAUGUCCUGUCUUUUGCUUGAUGGUGUUUCAGUUAAAGAAGGGACAUGGUAAUCUAUCUAAGAACAAUGCCACAAUAUUAAUCAAGGACUCAAAGAUAUGCAACUGAAUUCAUUGAUAGAUUUAGCUACCAUCAUAUUUUGUGUUUGUUUGGGUUAUGCUGCAAAGAGUUGCUUUACACGGCCCAAACUUUUGCUAGCAUAGAAGCAUGUCAGAAUUUGG